UUCACAGUGCUGUUCCUGUUUGUCUCUCCAUAAAGCAGGUACCGCAUGAAUGUUAGCAGUGCAAGCUUCCUAACGCUGCCUUGCCAAUGCACCUUAACCCUAAAUUGGAGGGAAGGCCUUUAGAGGUGAGAGGUUACUUCCAUCUCCAUGCCCAUUCCAUCCUCAGCCUGU
rnacentral:sRNA from 1 species